GUUCUCGUCGUCUAAUGGCUAUGAUAUCAGAUUCCUACCUUGAGUGGCAAGUCGCCUUGGGUUUAUCUGAAGGUUCCGGGUUCGAGUCCCGGCGGGAGUA